UAAAUUGAUAAAAUUGUGAUUGGGCAA
rnacentral:piRNA from 1 species